rnacentral:rRNA from 1 species
GAUCAUGGCUCAGAUUGAACGCUGGCGGCAGGCCUAACACAUGCAAGUCGAACGGUAACAGGAAGAAGCUUGCUUCUUUGCUGACGAGUGGCGGACGGGUGAGUAAUGUCUGGGAAACUGCCUGAUGGAGGGGGAUAACUACUGGAAACGGUAGCUAAUACCGCAUAACGUCGCAAGACCAAAGAGGGGGGACCUUCGGGGCCUCUUGCCAUCGGAUGUGCCCAGAUGGGAUUAGCUAGUAGGUGGGGUAACGGCUCACCUAGGCGACGAUCCCUAGCUGGUCUGAGAAGAUGACCAGCCACACUGGAACUGAGACACGGUCCAGACUCCUACGGGAGGCAGCAGUGGGGAAUAUUGCACAAUGGGCGCAAGCCUGAUGCAGCCAUGCCGCGUGUAUGAAGAAGGCCUUCGGGUUGUAAAGUACUUUCAGCGGGGAGGAAGGGAGUAAAGUUAAUACCUUUGCUCAUUGACGUUACCCGCAGAAGAAGCACCGGCUAACUCCGUG